GUGAGGAAUAUUGGACAAUGGGCGCAAGCCUGAUCCAGCCAUGCCGCGUGCAGGAAGACGCAUCUAUGGUGUGUAAACUGCUUUUGUACGGGAAGAAACACUCCCUCGUGAGGGAGCUUGACGGUACCGUAAGAAUAAGGAUCGGCUAACUCCGUGCCAGCAGCCGCGGUAAUACGGAGGAUCCAAGCGUUAUCCGGAAUCAUUGGGUUUAAAGGGUCCGUAGGCGGUUUAAUAAGUCAGUGGUGAAAGCCCAUCGCUCAACGAUGGAACGGCCAUUGAUACUGUUAGACUUGAAUUACAAGGAAGUAACUAGAAUAUGUAGUGUAGCGGUGAAAUGCUUAGAUAUUACAUGGAAUACCAAUUGCGAAGGCAGGUUACUACUUGUGGAUUGACGCUGAUGGACGAAAGCGUGGGGAGCGAACAGGAUUAGAUACCCAGUAGUCC
rnacentral:rRNA from 1 species